rnacentral:misc_RNA from 1 species
UCGUAACAAGGUCUCCGUUGGUGAACCAGCGGAGGGAUCAUUACCGAGUUAUACAACUCAUCAACCCUGUGAACAUACCUAAAACGUUGCUUCGGCGGGAACAGACGGCCCUGUAACAACGGGCCGCCCCCGCCAGAGGACCCCUAACUCUGUUUUUAUAAUGUUUUUCUGAGUAAACAAGCAAAUAAAUUAAAACUUUCAACAACGGAUCUCUUGGCUCUGGCAUCGAUGAAGAACGCAGCGAAAUGCGAUAAGUAAUGUGAAUUGCAGAAUUCAGUGAAUCAUCGAAUCUUUGAACGCACAUUGCGCCCGCCAGUAUUCUGGCGGGCAUGCCUGUUCGAGCGUCAUUACAACCCUCAGGCCCCCGGGCCUGGCGUUGGGGAUCGGCGGAAGCCCCCUGUGGGCACACGCCGUCCCUCAAAUACAGUGGCGGUCCCGCCGCAGCUUCCAUUGCGUAGUAGCUAACACCUCGCAACUGGAGAGCGGCGCGGCCAUGCCGUAAAACACCCAACUUCUGAAUGUUGACCUCGAAUCAGGUAGGAAUACCCGCUGAACCUAAGCAUAUCA